UAUAGCUGUCAUUUGAUAAAGAAGAGAUGUGCAUGAGCAGCCUUCAACAGUAUAAAGAGAACCAUUAACGGCAAAGAACCCUGGCAUGGCAGUCGAAAAUAUCUGCGUUCAAACUCUAGCUGUGUCACUCAUUAACUAUAAAAUCUUGA